UAGGCGUAAAUGAUGCGAGUUAAGUGUGGGGGCAUCUACGAGGUGGCCCUGUGCUGUAGGGUAGCCGUUAAACUCGCUGCCUGGGGAGUACGGUCGCAAAGGCUGAAACUUAAAGGAAUUGGCGGGGGGAGCACCACAAGAGGUGGAGGCUGCGGUUCAAUUGGACUCAACGCCGGAAAACUCAUCGGGAGCGACAGCAGUAUGAUUGCCAGGUUGAUGACCUUGCUUGACAAGCUGAGAGGAGGUGCAUGGCGUAGUCGUGU
rnacentral:rRNA from 1 species